ensembl:lncRNA
AUUCUAUAAUACUCAAUUACACUAUUUCCCUAUUUUCAGAGAAAUUCUUUUUUGGUUUGCUUGGUAAGACAGAGGAGGCCUCUGUGCGCCUGAAAUUAUGGAAACACACUGAAAGUGUCUGUCUCGUCUGUAGCCGGAAAUGGAGAGAGAGGGGGAGGGAGGGCCAGCCGGACCUGCUGUGGCUGAGCAGGACUCAGGCCGAAGUCCACCCCGUAGUUCUAGUUUGAAGCUUUCUGUUGCCUUCUUUCCCUGACCUGAAUGGGAAGCACGUCCGUGUGCUUUCUGCUGGCCCUUGGGGAGCCGGGAUGCGCACCGGAGUGAGCGCACGGCAGGAAAGCUUUCUUGGUGCUUUUCCUUUGGUUUUUGAAGGUUGGGGAGUUACAAUGAGCCCUUCUGGUCAGAGAGCCACAGACACCGUUUCCAUUACGAGGUUUGCAAUGGUAAAUACAUUGUCCUUUUCAGACCUACCAAGCUGGCAGGCCAAAAGCCUACAGUACAGCACAGUAGAUAACAUUUAAGGUGAAUUUCUUCGGUCCAAAUGGGUUAGUCUCUCAUGUUAUCUUGCUUUGCUAUAAAUGUUAAAAGUAGAAAUGUGUGUUCGCGUCCUGAAAAGAGCCUGUAGAGCGCUCUUCUUUACUAAGGAUGUCAACGCGUGCGUCCCAUGAAUCUGGGGCUUUGUAAUCUGGGCACGAUUCUCUUAUGGCAGCGUGGACCGAAAUAACACUUUUAAAGUUAAAGCUGACUUAAACACAGAAGGCCAUAUUUUAACUAGAAUGAGAAAUUAUUUAAUGUGCACAUGGAACCUCGUGUGUCCUCGCUCGUGGAAUUUCUGGCAUACGGGCCUUGCUGAGUUUCAGGAGUAAAAGACACUGGUAGCAGUUUGUUUUAAAGCAACAAAUAGUAAAUUGCUCUUUGACUCAAGUCAUCUGUAAAUCCAAUUAAAACAAGAUCUUAUUGUCAGGAAACAGCAUCUUCUAAGCUUGGCAUCUACCUUUAAGGAGGGGAAGUGGGAGCGAGGGUGAGACGGGAAAGGAACAGAGUGGGCAGGGUAGGUAGGAUUAAACAGCACCUGGGUUUUGCACCAAAGUUCCAAAAAGGAAUAAAUAAAAAGGAAGACCAGCCGCCAGACGACGUAGGAAAGACUUGCCAGGAAGCGGCAGCUUCUGCUGCCCAAUCCAGUGCCUUCAAAAUGACUCUGUGUGAACCGCAUGCAAUUUCAUGUAACCACGAAGUGUAACCUGUACGUGCAUGACGUGUGUCUAGACUGUGUACAGUUGAGAGGCAGCAGAAAGGGGCCUUGCUCCGUCACUUUGAUGGGUCAGCGAGCCCGCUGACGUCACCGGACUCUGUGACAGGUUUGUGGCGUCCGACCCCUGCCUUGGCAUUAAGCAACCGUAUCAUUGAAAUCUGGUCCAUUUCUCUUUCGAUUUCUUUCCUACUUGGCAGCUUUGCUGGUUUUAACUGCUUCCCCCUUCUGCUUCUUGGUAUCCUUCCUUCUUUUAAAAUAAAAAGAUGAAACACUUAAUUCAAAGGAGACGUGUAUUUAUUUUACCAGUCGCUCUUAGUGUACCAAAGGUGGCUGACUUUGUGAAAAAGAGUUCUGGGUUGCGCUUCCAGUGUGAAUCUGAUCCUAAAAUAUGCUCUGUCAGAAAGCUUGGGGAGCUUUCUACAGGCAUCCUUCUGCGUUGGCAGCCAUUCGCAGAGGGUGUCAAGGAAUCUGCUGUCGUGCCCCUGAGUGCUGCUCCUCACCUCUGCAGGUGUCCACGGAAACCUGGUCCGUCUGCGCUGGAGACACCCAGACUGGGGAGUGGCCUGUCGGACAAACGCACGGCUGCGUGCAGGAAGUACUUAGCACGUAUUGAGCACCUGCUGUGUGCUGGGCGCUGUGCUGGGAACACGAAGAGAUAAAACGGUCUUUGUGACUGGCGAGCAUGCUCCCUCACUGCGGGUCGUCCUGAGGUCACAGAGAACUCUGCAAACCGGAAGGUCGGUCUCCACGUUGCUUUAUUCAGGCGCCCAGGGCCCUCCUCUUACUCUGCCUGGUCUGAAUUUCUUUCCUUCAGCCACAGGACCUGACAAUCUUAUUCUUGGCUCCCAGUGAGUUUUUUGUGGCCGGGGCCCAAAUUUCCCCAGCAAGGCUGCUAUAAAGCAAGCGUGCUCCCCACGUGGAGGCCAGUCCCUGGAGCUAGGUCCCCAGCCUGGGUGGCACCAAGCGCCUGUCCUGAGCCAAGCCUGUCGCUCAGCCCAGAGUUAAGGGAUCUGAGACGCUCAGGGAGGCCUGAGGCUUCAUCACACACCCGUCCUGGUAGAGACCCCACCGGGGUGAAUGGAGGGAUGGAAGGUGCCAGGACAGAGGGCGCUGAGACCCGCUGCCCUGCCCGAGGUAGCCAGGGCCGCCAUAGCUCAGGGCCACAGCCUGGGUGGCUGCCCAGCAGAAACGUG